rnacentral:sRNA from 1 species
ACUCAACGUUAAUUCUUUAAAAAGGGUGAGUUUAAGUUGUAAAAGCAAGCCACCUUGUAGUGGAUCCUUGAUCAGCUUGUUAGCCCUAAACUUGUUUUUAAGGAGUUU